rfam:Firmicutes bacterium GWF2_51_9 gwf2_scaffold_22653, whole genome shotgun sequence.
AUACAUGUUAUCAAUAUACCAUAGACAGCAACCGCCACUUGGCUUAAUCCGUUGCCGAGGUAGAAAGCAAAACGAACUUUCAAACCUGUGCUGUCUUUAGGCACGGGUUUAUUAUUUGCGGG